AAUCAACGCUGGCGGCGUGCCUCAGACAUGCAAGUCGAACGAUUAAAGCUCUCUUCGGAGAGUGCAUAGAGUGGCGCACGGGUGAGUAACACGUAAGUAAUCUACCUUCGAGUGGGGAAUAACAUCGGGAAACCGAUGCUAAUACCGCAUAAUGCAGCGGCAUCAUAAGAUGACAGUUGUUAAAGAUUUAUCGCUUGAAGAGGAGCUUGCGGCAGAUUAGCUAGUUGGUAAGGUAAUGGCUUACCAAGGCUACGAUCUGUAACCGGUCUAAGAGGACGGUCGGUCACACUGACACUGAAUAACGGGUCAGACUCCUACGGG
rnacentral:rRNA from 1 species